GGCUAUCAAUUUCCACAAUAUCUGGCAAUGAAAUUUUAGGAGGCCCUGUUCCAGUUGCAGAUAAGUAUCCUUCAGAUAUAUUUAUUUCAUCUUUUGUCAGUGAGGACGAUGAAGAAAUGGCAACCAAUGGAUCUGAGGCAAAUGCAGGAGGUGGUGCCGGCAAAGAAACAGGAUGAUUUCCAAAUAAGUUCUUUUCCAAACCAGUCUGCAUGAUAGCCUCCUUCAGCUUUGAAUGAAGACGAGAUCCUGAAUCUUUAACACUCUUGGGAGGCCAUAUCGAUGUGGAACAUGAAGG
rnacentral:misc_RNA from 1 species